UACGUAGGGUCCGAGCGUUGUCCGGAAUUACUGGGCGUAAAGCGCGCGCAGGCGGCCCGCGAGGUGUCACGUGAAAGCCCCGGGCUCAACCCGGGAGGGUCGUGGCAAACCGGCGGGCUUGAGGCCGGUAGAGGUGGGUGGAACUCCUGGUGGAGUGGUGAAAUGCGUAGAUAUCGGAAGGAACACCAGUGGCGAAAGCGGCUUCCUGGUCCAGCACCGACGUUCAGGCACGAAAGCGUGGGGAGCAAACAGG
rnacentral:rRNA from 1 species